rnacentral:misc_RNA from 1 species
GAAAUGCGAUAAGUAAUGUGAAUUGCAGAAUUCAGUGAACCAUCGAAUCUUUGAACGCACAUUGCGCCCGCCAGCACUCUGGCGGGCAUGCCUGUCCGAGCGUCAUUUCAACCCUCGAGCCCCCCCGGGGGCCCCGGCGUUGGGGGCCGGCCCCGGCCGCCCCCGAAAUGCAGUGGCGACCUCGCCGCAGCCUCCCCUGCGCAGUAGCACACACCUCGCACCGGAGCGCGGCGGCGGUCACGCCGUGAAACGCACCAGCUCUCCAGAGUUGACCUCGGAUCAGGUAGGGAUACCCGCUGAACUUAA